rnacentral:rRNA from 1 species
UCGGGAAUUUUGGGCAAUGGGCGAAAGCCUGACCCAGCAACGCCGCGUGAAGGAUGAAGUAUUUCGGUAUGUAAACUUCGAAAGAAUAGGAAGAAUAAAUGACGGUACUAUUUAUAAGGUCCGGCUAACUACGUGCCAGCAGCCGCGGUAAUACGUAGGGACCAAGCGUUGUUCGGAUUUACUGGGCGUAAAGGGCGCGUAGGCGGCAAUUCAAGUCAUCUGUGAAAUCUCCGGGCUUAACUCGGAACGGUCAGAUGAUACUGCUUUGCUAGAGUGCAGAAGGGGCAAUCGGAAUUCUUGGUGUAGCGGUGAAAUGCGUAGAUAUCAAGAGGAACACCUGAGGUGAAGACGGGUUGCUGGGCUGACACUGACGCUGAGGCGCGAAAGCCAGGGGGGCAAACGGGAUUAGAUACCCAAGUAGUCCCUGAGCGGGCUGGCAAGGCGCAU